UCUCCUUCUCUCGAGUUCCUUUUGAAGCUGUGAGACUCAAUUGAUCGCCAUCGUCAGUAAAUUUCACCAGAACAGCAACAGAAUUCUUAAUAAAUUGGAAGCGCUCGUUUCGCCACAUGAUCCGUGUAUAUUUGAGCUCUGUUGUUUCAAUUAAAUUAGGGUUAGGGUUUUCUUCCCCAUUAGAGAGGCCCUAAAUUCUGUUGUAUUCUGUUCUUCUAGUUAUAUUAUCUAUAGUACUAUUGAAUUUAGGGUUUGGUUUUUUUUUUUUCACUUGUUAUUUUGGAUUUUUGUUUCUAAAAGUUUAGGC
rnacentral:misc_RNA from 1 species